rnacentral:rRNA from 1 species
ACCUGCGGAAGGAUCAUUAUCGUGCAACCGAGGCUCGAGGGCUGUCGCUGACCUUCAGGGGUUGUGCACUCCCGAGUGCUUUAUCACUUCCAUCUCACCACUUUGUGCAUCGCCGCGUGGGUCCUCUCGAAAGGGGGGGCCUGCGGCGGGCGUUUUUUUUUUAAAAAAACUUUGAAUGGUAUGUAUAUUUGCUAUCAUUUGCAACUAAUACAACUUUCAACAACGGAUCUCUUGGCUCUCGCAUCGAUGAAGAACGCAGCGAAAUGCGAUACGUAAUGUGAAUUGCAGAAUUCAGUGAAUCAUCGAAUCUUUGAACGCACCUUGCGCCCCUUGGCAUUCCGAGGGGCACACCCGUUUGAGUGUCGUGAAAUCCAUCAAACCUUUCUGAUUCCUGAUGAUUAGGAAGGCUUUGGACUUUGGAGGCAUCUUGCCGGCUUUGAACGAAGCCGGCUCCUCUUAAAUGGAUUAGCGGGGUACCCAUUGCGCAUCCCUUAACGUGAUAAGAUGUUUCUACGUCUUGGGGUUGUAGGCUCCUUGACCCGCUUCUAACCGUCUCGUCAUCAGAACAGCGCUCGGGUAUGCCGCCUUUCGGGGUGGGAAGCUCGACCCAGAAACCUUGCACCUCAAAUCGGGUGAGACUACCCGCUGAACUUAAGCAUAUCAAUAAG